GCACUUUGGAAAUAACGGCGAUGAGAAGAAGCUCUUCUACAGGCAGCUGAAGAGGGAGUACGAUCGCUCUCUCGACACAGCACCACGAUCUACGUUCUAUCGCACUUUGGAAAUACCGGCGAUGAGAAGAAGCUCUUCUACAGGCAGCUGAAGACGGAGUACGAUCGCUCUCUCGACACAGCACCACGGCACAUCUUCAUUGAAGUUCAGAACGCUCGGGGGAGUUAUACGUCGUAAGUGUAUGGCAGUGAUAAACUGACAGAAAAGAUCCUCCAUGCGAUCGUGAUCCAGAAGAUCAACCGCAGUUGAUGUAAGCUGAAGAUGUUCACGCAGAUCACUCAGGAUGACAAACGACCGGAUUAUCUCGAAGGUCCUCACUCAUCUUAAAUAUUUCAUAUUUGCACAUCUUGCAACAAAUAUCGUCGAUAACUGCUAAGCCGGACUUGGAUUACAGGUAAAACCAACAAACGAUCUUACAAUACAGAUUUAUUACAAAGCAUCCAUUAUGGUCGUACGUGUGAUGAAUGAGCGUGGAGCACAUCGCCUUACCUACAAAGCACUAAUUUAUGUGU